UGACCGGUGAUGAUGGUAGCAGUGUUGGCGAUGGGAGUGACGUGAUAUGGUAGCAGUGUUGGCGAUGGGAGUGACGGUGAUGAGGUGGGAGUGUUGGCGAUGGAGUGACGUGAUGAUGGUAGCAGUUUGGCGGAUGGGGGUGACGGGUGAUGAUGGUGGCAAUGUUGGCGAUGGAGUGACGGUGAUGAUUGUGGCAGUGUUGGCGAUGGGAGUGACGGUGAUGAUGGUAUGGCAAUGGAGACAAUGGUAGCCAUGU